rnacentral:rRNA from 1 species
CAGAGGGGGCAAGCGUUAUUCGGAAUUAUUGGGCGUAAAGGGCGCGUAGGCGGCUUUGCAAGUGGCGGGUGAAAUCCCUCGGCUUAACCGAGGAACUGCCUGCCAGACUGUGAGGCUUGAGACCGGGAGAGGUGAGUGGAAUUCCCAGUGUAGCGGUGAAAUGCGUAGAUAUUGGGAGGAACACCAGUGGCGAAGGCGGCUCACUGGACCGGAACUGACGCUGAGGCGCGAAAGCGUGGGGAGCAAACAGGAUUAGAUACCCUGGUAGUCCACGCCGUAAACGAUGAGUGCUUGGUGUAGCGGGUAUCGACCCCUGCUGUGCCGAAGUCAACACAUUAAGCACUCCGCCUGGGGAGUACGGUCGCAAGACUG